rnacentral:rRNA from 1 species
CUCCAGACUCCUACGGGAGGCAGCAGUAGGGAAUAUUGCUCAAUGGGGGAAACCCUGAAGCAGCAACGCCGCGUGAAGGAAGAAGGCCUUCGGGUUGUAAACUUCUUUUGUCAGGGAAGAGUAGAAGACGGUACCUGACGAAUAAGCCACGGCUAACUACGUGCCAGCAGCCGCGGUAAUACGUAGGUGGCAAGCGUUGUCCGGAUUUACUGGGUGUAAAGGGCGUGUAGCCGGGUUGACAAGUCAGAUGUGAAAUCCUGCGGCUUAACCGCAGAACUGCAUUUGAAACUGUUGAUCUUGAGUACUGGAGAGGCAGACGGAAUUCCUAGUGUAGCGGUGAAAUGCGUAGAUAUUAGGAGGAACACCAGUGGCGAAGGCGGUCUGCUGGACAGCAACUGACGGUGAGGCGCGAAAGCGUGGGGAGCAAACAGGAUUAGAUACCCGCGUAGU